AUGGUUGGGAGGGAGUGCCCCUUGCUCCUGCGAUCCGUGCGGGUCAUCGGCACUUCCACAGGAAAGGAGAAGGAAAAGGAAAAGUACUGGCCAGGGCGCUGCUCCCAGGCACCUGCCCAAUCCUGCCUUCUAGACAGAGGCACACCCGCGCCAGAAGGCCUGAAAGUCAGGAAGCGAGUGCCAAAAGGAAGCAGGGCACGCCUGCAGGAAGCUCCUACUGGCUCAAGUCUGGACUUUAAGUGCUUCCAUAAGGAUAACAACUGCCAGGAAUGGAACUUCAAGAGAUUAUUUUGGCAAGUCUUGAGUUCCCGAUGCUCUUUCAUUGCAAAGUAACUCCUGGAUCACGGCUGGUUUUGUUUGUGGUCGGUUUCCUGGUGGUUUUGGAGGCUGAGGAUGAUCUCCACCCCUGGGGAAUUCAGGGGAAGCGUGGACCCUGAACCUCGGUACUCUGUCCUGCUACCCUUGGACGUGCCCCUUCACCAAAGGGCAGCCAUGGCACGAGGACCCUUAGGACACCAGGGACACAGCUAAGAACUGGAAGCGAAAGGAAACGAGGGAAGCAGUAUGUCCUCACCUCCACCACCACUGCCAAGGCACUGCCAAAGCUGUCCUGGACCUAGGGCACGGAGGGGUGCUUCGCUGGGACUUGGCGGCCUUCCAGGACUGACCAGGAGACACAAGGUGCCUAGAGACCAGGGGACACACCAGCAGGCAGAUCCCUGCCACGAGGGUCCCUCCUGAGUGCCACCAAGGGCUCUGACCCAAGAGUAGACCUGCCUGGGGGUGGGGGCAGGGUGUGCAGAGAGAAGGCAAGAGGGGAGGAGGCGGGGCACGCGCCCGACGACACCCCGAGCAGAGCAGGUCCUGUCCUGGGCACAUUCAUGGGACGGGACAGGACAGGACAGGACAGGACAGGACAGGCAGGACAGGACAGGGAAGGGAUGAGGGUACUCUCCGAUGGCAAUUAAGGGAUGGUUGGGAGGGAGUGCCCCCUUGCUCCUGCGAUCCGUGCGGGUCAUCGGCACUUCCACAGGAAAGGAGAAGGAAAAGGAAAAGUACUGGCCAGGGCGCUGCUCCCAGCACCUGCCCAAUCCUGCCUUCUAGACAGAGGCACACCCGCGCCAGAAGGCCUGAAAGUCAGGAAGCGAGUGUAAGUAAGGGACGGAAAGCGCAGAGCGAAAAGAAAGCAAAGGUGGAACUGAGGUGGAGCUGAAGCCUGAAGGUGAUCCCGGGGCACUGUGUCCAGGGGGGCAGCUGGAACCUGUGGCCCCCUAGGGGAAGAGCCAUCACCCGAGGCAGAGCCGUCAGCCACUGAGGCAAGGGUUUGGACCCU
rnacentral:lncRNA from 1 species